AUUGAACGCUGGCGGCAUGCCUUACACAUGCAAGUCGAACGGCAGCGCGGGAGCAAUCCUGGCGGCGAGUGGCGAACGGGUGAGUAUUACAUCGGAACGUGCCCAAUCGUGGGGGAUAACGCAGCGAAAGCUGUGCUAAUACCGCAUACGAUCUACGGAUGAAAGCAGGGGAUCGCAAGACCUUGCGCGAAUGGAGCGGCCGAUGGCAGAUUAGGUAGUUGGUGAGGUAAAGGCUCACCAAGCCUUCGAUCUGUAGCUGGUCUGAGAGGACGACCAGCCACACUGGGACUGAGACACGGCCCAGACUCCUACGGGAGGCAGCAGUGGGGAAUUUUGGACAAUGGGCGAAAGCCUGAUCCAGCCAUGCCGCGUGCAGGAUGAAGGCCUUCGGGUUGUAAACUGCUUUUGUACGGAACGAAACGGUCUUUUCUAAUAAAGAAGGCUAAUGACGGUACCGUAAGAAUAAGCACCGGCUAACUACGUG
rnacentral:rRNA from 1 species